AUUCCUCUUUCAUAGCCUUAACUAAAAGUACUCUGAAGGAGCAGUUACCUCCUGUUUGCUACUAAGUGGAAGAUAACAAUUCUGAAGAUGAUGCUACAAAUACUGCCCAAAGAGAAAGAAUUUUUGUAUUUUGUCACAGAAAUGAAUAUAUCUAGCAAAAUGUGGUACAGCUGGAGGCCACAGACCCUGCUGCACUGUGAAUACCAGCAAGCAUCCCUUCCCCAUAAACUGUGGGACAGUUUGCAACUGAAGACAGAAGAGAACGUCUCAUCCAUUAAUUUAAAUACCAUGCCAAUAUUCAUUAAAAGGAUCUCUCUCCCCCGCAAUUGCAGGUCUUAACAGCAAGCCAAGUUCAUGAAUGUUAAAUCCACCAUGGAUCAUAUAUUGAUGCUUCAGAGAGAAGGAAAGAGAGCGAUGCAUUAGUGAAGAAUAAAAAAGGUCAAGCUGUGAAAACUGACA
rnacentral:lncRNA from 1 species